GACGAACCGAGCGAACGUUGUUCGGAAUCACUGGGCUUAAAGGGCGCGUAGGCGGGCUGUCAAGUCUGGGGUGAAAUCCCGCGGCUCAACCGCGGAACUGCCUCAGAUACUGGCGGCCUCGAGGGAGGUAGGGGCGAGCGGAACUAAUGGUGGAGCGGUGAAAUGCGUAGAUAUCAAGAGGAACACCUGAGGUGAAGACGGGUUGCUGGGCUGACACUGACGCUGAGGCGCGAAAGCCAGGGGAGCAAACGGG
rnacentral:rRNA from 1 species